CGGGCCCGGCAGGCGCCUCUGGUGCUAAGGGCUGGGCAAGAUGGCGGCCUUCGGGAUCUUGAGCUACGAACACCGGCCCCUGAAGCGGCCGCGGCUGGGGCCUCCCGAUGUGUACCCUCAAGAUCCCAAACAGAAGGAGGAUGAACUGACAGCCUUGAAUGUAAAACAAGGUUUCAAUAAUCAGCCUGCUGUCUCUGGGGAUGAACACGGCAGUGCCAAGAACGUCAACUUCAAUCCUGCCAAGAUCAGUUCCAACUUCAGCAGCAUUAUUGCGGAGAAGUUACGUUGUAACACUCUCCCUGACACUGGUCGCAGGAAGCCCCAAGUGAACCAGAAGGACAACUUCUGGCUGGUGACUGCUCGAUCCCAGAGUGCCAUUAACACCUGGUUCACUGACCUGGCUGGCACCAAGCCACUCACACAACUAGCCAAAAAGGUCCCCAUUUUCAGUAAGAAGGAAGAAGUAUUUGGGUACUUAGCCAAAUACACAGUGCCCGUGAUGCGGGCUGCCUGGCUCAUUAAGAUGACCUGUGCCUACUAUGCAGCAAUCACUGAGACCAAGGUUAAGAAGAGACAUGUCAUUGACCCCUUCAUGGAGUGGACUCAGAUCAUCACCAAGUACUUAUGGGAGCAGCUGCAAAAGAUGGCUGAAUACUACCGGCCAGGGCCUGCAGGAAGUGCAGGUUGUGGUUCCACUAUAGGGCCCUUGCCCCAUGAUGUAGAGGUGGCAAUCCGGCAGUGGGACUACAACGAGAAGCUGGCCAUGUUCAUGUUUCAGGAUGGAAUGUUGGACAGACAUGAGUUCCUGACCUGGGUACUUGAGUGUUUUGAGAAAAUCCGCCCUGGAGAGGAUGAAUUGCUUAAACUGUUGCUGCCCCUGCUGCUUCGAUACUCUGGGGAAUUUGUUCAGUCCGCAUACCUCUCCCGCCGCCUUGCCUACUUCUGUACCCGGAGACUGGCCCUGCAACUGGAUGGCAUGAGCAGUCACUCGUCUCAUGUGAUGUCUGCUCAGUCGACAAGCACACUGCCCACCACCCCUGCUCCUCAGCCCCCCACUAGCAGCACACCCUCUACACCCUUUAGUGACCUACUUAUGUGCCCUCAGCACCGGCCCCUGGUUUUUGGCCUCAGUUGUAUCCUUCAGACCAUCCUCCUGUGUUGUCCUAGUGCCCUGGUUUGGCACUACUCGCUGACUGAUAGCCGAAUUAAGACUGGCUCACCACUUGACCACCUACCUAUUGCCCCCUCCAACCUGCCCAUGCCAGAGGGCAACAGUGCCUUCACUCAGCAGGUCCGUGCAAAGUUGCGGGAGAUUGAGCUGCAGAUCAAGGAGCGAGGACAGGCAGUUGAGGUUCGCUGGUCUUUUGAUAAGUGCCAGGAAGCUACUGCAGGCUUCACCAUUGGGCGGGUGCUCCAUACUUUGGAAGUGCUGGACAGCCAUAGUUUUGAGCGCUCUGACUUCAGCAACUCUCUUGACUCCCUGUGUAACCGAAUCUUUGGAUUGGGGCCUAGCAAGGAUGGGCACGAGAUCUCCUCAGAUGAUGAUGCUGUGGUAUCAUUACUGUGUGAAUGGGCUGUCAGCUGCAAGCGUUCUGGUCGGCAUCGUGCUAUGGUGGUAGCCAAGCUGCUGGAGAAGAGACAGGCAGAGAUUGAGGCUGAGCGUUGUGGAGAAUCGGAAGCCGCAGAUGAGAAGGGUUCCAUCGCCUCUGGCUCCCUUUCUGCUCCUAGUGCUCCCAUUUUCCAGGAUGUUCUCCUACAGUUUCUGGAUACACAGGCUCCCAUGCUGACGGACCCCCGAAGUGAGAGUGAGCGGGUGGAGUUCUUUAACUUGGUACUGCUGUUCUGUGAACUGAUUCGACAUGAUGUUUUCUCCCACAACAUGUAUACUUGCACCCUCAUCUCCCGAGGGGACCUUGCCUUUGGAGCCCCUGGCCCCCGGCCUCCCUCUCCCUUUGAUGACCCUGCCGAUGACCCAGAACGCAAGGAGGCUGAGGGCAGCAGCAGUAGCAAGCUGGAGGAUCCAGGCCUCUCAGAGUCUAUGGACAUCGACCCUAGUUCCAGUGUACUGUUUGAGGACAUGGAGAAGCCUGAUUUCUCAUUGUUCUCUCCUACUAUGGUCUGUGAGGGGAAGGGCAGUCCAUCUCCUGAGAAACCAGAUGUUGAGAAGGAGGUGAAGCCCCAACCCAAGGAGAAGAUAGAAGGGACCCUUGGGGUUCUUUAUGACCAGCCGCGGCAUGUGCAGUAUGCCACACACUUUCCCAUCCCCCAGGAGGAGUCAUGCAGCCAUGAGUGCAACCAGCGGUUGGUCGUACUGUUUGGGGUGGGAAAGCAGCGAGAUGAUGCCCGACAUGCCAUCAAGAAAAUUACCAAGGAUAUCCUGAAGGUUCUGAACCGCAAGGGGACCGCAGAAACUGACCAGCUUGCUCCUAUUGUGCCUCUGAAUCCUGGAGACCUGACAUUCUUAGGUGGGGAGGAUGGGCAGAAGCGGCGGCGCAACCGGCCUGAAGCCUUCCCCACUGCUGAAGAUAUCUUUGCUAAGUUCCAGCACCUUUCACAUUAUGACCAACACCAGGUCACUGCUCAGGUCUCCCGGAAUGUUCUGGAGCAGAUCACGAGCUUUGCCCUUGGCAUGUCGUACCACUUGCCCCUGGUGCAGCAUGUGCAGUUCAUCUUCGACCUCAUGGAAUAUUCACUCAGCAUCAGUGGCCUCAUCGACUUUGCCAUUCAGCUACUGAACGAACUGAGUGUAGUUGAGGCUGAGUUGCUUCUCAAAUCCUCGGAUCUGGUGGGCAGCUACACUACCAGCCUGUGCCUGUGCAUCGUGGCCGUCCUGCGGCACUAUCAUGCCUGCCUCAUCCUCAACCAGGACCAGAUGGCACAGGUCUUUGAGGGGCUGUGUGGCGUAGUGAAGCAUGGGAUGAACCGGUCAGAUGGCUCCUCUGCAGAACGCUGUAUCCUUGCUUAUCUCUAUGACCUGUACACCUCCUGUAGCCAUUUAAAGAGCAAAUUUGGGGAGCUCUUCAGCGACUUCUGCUCCAAGGUGAAGAACACCAUCUACUGCAAUGUGGAGCCAUCAGAAUCCAAUAUGCGCUGGGCACCUGAGUUCAUGAUUGACACUCUGGAGAACCCUGCAGCUCACACCUUCACCUACACGGGGCUAGGCAAGAGUCUUAGUGAGAACCCCGCUAACCGCUACAGCUUUGUCUGCAAUGCCCUUAUGCACGUCUGUGUGGGGCACCAUGAUCCCGAUAGGGUGAAUGACAUCGCAAUCCUGUGUGCAGAGCUGACUGGCUAUUGCAAGUCACUGAGUGCGGAAUGGCUUGGAGUCCUUAAGGCCUUGUGCUGCUCCUCUAACAACGGCACUUGUGGUUUCAACGACCUCCUCUGCAAUGUAGAUGUCAGUGACCUGUCUUUUCAUGAUUCCCUGGCUACUUUUGUUGCCAUCCUCAUCGCUCGGCAGUGUUUGCUCCUAGAGGAUCUGAUUCGCUGUGCUGCCAUCCCUUCACUCCUUAAUGCUGCUUGCAGUGAGCAGGACUCUGAGCCCGGGGCCCGACUUACCUGCCGCAUCCUCCUCCACCUUUUCAAGACACCUCAACUCAAUCCUUGCCAGUCGGAUGGAACUCCCUCCCCAGACAAACCUACUGUAGGAAUCCGCUCCUCCUGUGACCGCCACCUGCUGGCUGCCUCCCAGAACCGCAUCGUGGAUGGAGCUGUGUUUGCUGUUCUCAAGGCUGUGUUUGUACUUGGGGAUGCGGAACUGAAAGGUUCAGGCUUCACUGUGACAGGAGGAACAGAAGAACUUCCAGAGGAGGAGGGAGGAGGUGGCAGUGGCGGUCGGAGGCAGGGUGGCCGCAACAUCUCUGUGGAGACAGCCAGUCUGGAUGUCUAUGCCAAGUACGUGCUGCGCAGCAUCUGCCAACAGGAAUGGGUAGGAGAGCGUUGCCUUAAAUCGCUGUGUGAGGACAGCAAUGACCUACAGGACCCAGUGUUGAGUAGUGCCCAGGCCCAGCGCCUCAUGCAGCUCAUCUGCUACCCACAUCGACUACUGGACAAUGAGGAUGGGGAAAACCCCCAGCGGCAACGCAUUAAGCGUAUUCUCCAGAACUUGGACCAGUGGACCAUGCGCCAGUCUUCCUUGGAGCUGCAGCUCAUGAUCAAGCAGACCCCUAGCAAUGAGAUGAACUCCCUCUUAGAGAACAUUGCCAAGGCCACAAUCGAAGUGUUCCAACAGUCAGCGGAGACAGGGUCAUCUUCUGGAAACACUGCAAGCAACAUGCCCAGCAGCAGCAAGACCAAGCCUGUGCUCAGCUCUCUAGAGCGCUCUGGUGUAUGGCUGGUGGCCCCCCUCAUUGCUAAACUGCCCACCUCAGUCCAGGGGCAUGUGUUAAAGGCUGCAGGGGAGGAAUUGGAGAAGGGCCAGCACCUGGGUUCCUCUUCCCGCAAAGAACGUGAUCGACAAAAGCAGAAGAGUAUGUCCCUGUUGAGCCAGCAGCCCUUCUUAUCCCUGGUGCUGACGUGUCUGAAAGGGCAGGAUGAGCAGCGUGAAGGACUCCUUACCUCCCUCUACAGCCAAGUGCACCAGAUUGUGAAUAAUUGGCGAGAUGACCAGUACUUAGAUGAUUGCAAACCAAAGCAGCUAAUGCAUGAGGCACUCAAACUGCGGCUCAACCUGGUGGGGGGCAUGUUUGACACGGUGCAGCGCAGCACCCAGCAGACCACAGAGUGGGCUGUGCUCCUCUUGGAGAUCAUCAUCAGCGGCACUGUCGACAUGCAGUCCAACAAUGAGCUCUUCACCACUGUAUUGGACAUGCUGAGUGUGCUCAUCAAUGGGACCCUGGCUGCGGACAUGUCCAGCAUCUCUCAAGGCAGCAUGGAGGAAAACAAACGUGCCUACAUGAACCUGGUGAAGAAGCUGCGGAAAGAGUUGGGGGAACGUCAGUCAGACAGUCUGGAAAAAGUUCGCCAGCUGCUGCCACUGCCCAAGCAGACCCGCGAUGUCAUCACAUGUGAGCCACAGGGCUCCCUUAUUGACACCAAGGGCAACAAGAUUGCCGGCUUCGAUUCCAUCUUCAAGAAAGAGGGUCUACAGGUUUCCACCAAACAAAAGAUCUCUCCCUGGGAUCUCUUUGAGGGCCUGAAACCAUCAGCACCACUCUCUUGGGGCUGGUUUGGAACCGUCCGGGUUGACCGGCGGGUGGCCCGAGGCGAGGAGCAGCAGCGGUUGCUGCUCUACCACACACACCUCCGGCCCCGGCCCCGCGCCUAUUACCUGGAGCCACUGCCACUGCCACCAGAGGAUGAGGAGCCCCCUGCUCCCACCCUGCUAGAGCCUGAGAAAAAGGCUCCAGAGCCACCCAAAGCUGACAAGCCUGGGGCUGCUCCACCUAGUACUGAGGAACGCAAGAAGAAGUCCACGAAGGGCAAGAAACGCAGCCAGCCCGCCACCAAGACAGAGGACUAUGGAAUGGGCCCAGGGCGGAGUGGCCCCUAUGGUGUGACAGUGCCUCCAGACCUCCUGCACCACGCUAACCCUGGUUCCAUAUCCCACCUUAGCUACAGGCAGGGUUCCAUAGGCCUGUACACCCAGAACCAGCCACUACCUGCAGGUGGGCCUCGUGUGGACCCAUACCGUCCUGUGCGGUUACCAAUGCAGAAGCUGCCGACCCGACCACCUUACCCUGGAGUGCUGCCCACAACCAUGACUGGCGUCAUGGGACUGGAACCCUCCUCCUACAAGACCUCUGUGUACCGACAGCAGCAGCCUGCGGUGCCCCAAGGACAGCGCCUUCGCCAACAGCUCCAGGCAAAGAUACAGAGUCAGGGGAUGUUGGGACAGUCAUCUGUCCAUCAGAUGACUCCCAGCUCUUCCUACGGUUUGCAGACCUCCCAGGGCUAUACUCCUUAUGUUUCUCAUGUGGGAUUGCAGCAACACACAGGCCCCGCAGGUACCAUGGUGCCCCCCAGCUACUCCAGCCAGCCUUAUCAGAGCACCCACCCUUCUACCAAUCCUACUCUUGUAGAUCCUACUCGCCACCUGCAACAGCGGCCCAGUGGCUAUGUGCACCAGCAGGCCCCAACCUACGGACAUGGGCUGACCGCCAGUCAAAGGUUUUCACACCAGACACUGCAGCAAACACCCAUGAUAGGUACCAUGACUCCGCUGGGCGCCCAGGGCGUCCAGGCCGGCGUCCGAUCAGCUUCCAUCCUGCCUGAGCAGCAGCAGCAGCAGCAGCAGCAACAGCAGCAGCAGCAGCAGCAGCAGCAGCAGCAGCAGCAGUAUCACAUCCGGCAGCAGCAGCAGCAGCAGAUCCUGCGGGUAAGGCUCUGGGAUUUCCUCUGGGACCUGGGAGCCCAAGGAGGAGAGACACAAGCUCUUCCAGGUUGUUAUCAAGACUGAAUGAGGCCAUGUACGUAAAGUGCCCGGCAGAGUGGCUGCCACAUAGUGGGGGCUUAAGAAGUUAGUUCCCUCCCCUCCCCUGUUUUGUUCUGGGGGUCCUGGUGGGAGAGAGUUGGGAGUUGUCUGCUGGGUCCUCUAGAUGUGUUUUCUUCCUCUGAAACUCUCUGAGGAGGGAGGGCAGUGGACCCAGAGUUCCCUCCCUGCUGCUGCUUCCCCGUCCCCAUCCCUCCGCCACUGAGGCUCAACUCCCUUGCUCUCCUUAGAAGUAUCUCUCAUGUUUUUACAGCAGCAGCAACAGCAGCAGCAGCAGCAGCAGCAGCAGCAGCAGCAGCAGCAGCAGCAGCAACAGCAGCAGCAGCAGCAGCAGCAACAGCAGCAACAACAAGCACACCAGCAACAGCAGCAGCAGGCGGCUCCUCCCCAACCCCAGCCCCAGUCCCAGCCCCAGUUCCAGCGCCAGGGGCUUCAGCAGACGCAGCAACAGCAACAGACAGCAGCUUUGGUCCGGCAACUCCAACAACAGCUCUCCAAUACCCAGCCACAGCCCAGUACCAACAUAUUUGGACGCUUCUGAGCCACCUGGAGGAACCACUUGUGCACUGGAUGUGGCCCCCCCCUUUCCUCUUAAUUCCCAAUCCCCUUCCUGGGCUAGCACCAGUAGUGGUUGGGGCUCUUCCCUCAGGCUCCAUUUUUAAUGAGUUUUUAGUAUUUUUGUUAAUGUGAGGCAUUGAGCUGUUGGGUUUUGUAUAUUAUUUAUAUAGAGACCCCAGAGCUGUUGCACCCAAUACACAGAGCUUCUUUGCAAAGGGAA